UGGGGAAUUUUGGACAAUGGGCGCAAGCCUGAUCCAGCCAUGCCGCGUGCGGGAAGAAGGCCUUCGGGUUGUAAACCGCUUUUGUCAGGGAAGAAAUCUUCUGAGUUAAUACCUCGGGAGGAUGACGGUACCUGAAGAAUAAGCACCGGCUAACUACGUGCCAGCAGCCGCGGUAAUACGUAGGGUGCAAGCGUUAAUCGGAAUUACUGGGCGUAAAGCGUGCGCAGGCGGUUUUGUAAGACAGAGGUGAAAUCCCCGGGCUCAACCUGGGAACUGCCUUUGUGACUGCAAGGCUUGAGUGCGGCAGAGGGGGAUGGAAUUCCGCGUGUAGCAGUGAAAUGCGUAGAUAUGCGGAGGAACACCGAUGGCGAAGGCAAUCCCCUGGGCCUGCACUGACGCUCAUGCACGAAAGCGUGGGGAGCAAACAGGAUUAGAUACCCUGGUAGUCCACGCCCUAAACGAUGUCAACUGGUUGUUGGGAAGGUUCCUUCUCAGUAACGUAGCUAACGCGUGAAGUUGACCGCCUGGGGAGUACGGCCGCAAGGUUGAAACUUAAAUGAAUUGACGGGGU
rnacentral:rRNA from 1 species